UACGUAGGGUGCGAGCGUUAUUCGGAAUUACUGGGCGUAAAGCGUGCGCAGGCGGUUUUGUAAGUCCGCUGUGAAAGCCCCGGGCUUAACCUGGGAAUGGCAUUUGGGACUGCAAGGCUUGAGUGCGGCAGAGGAGACUGGAAUUCCUGGUGUAGCAGUGAAAUGCGUAGAUAUCAGGAGGAAUACCGAUGGCGAAGGCAGGUCUCUGGGCUGACACUGACGCUCAUGCACGAAAGCGUGGGGAGCAAACAGG
rnacentral:rRNA from 1 species